rnacentral:lncRNA from 1 species
CUUCCUCUCACAUGGAACCUUCCCAGACUUAUAUUUGGUUUGUGAAUAACUGAAAGAAAGCAGAGAACAAACACCACCAGCUCCCCUCACUGUCAUCAGCACUGAAGUACUUUGCUGAAGCAAAAUGUUAAGAAGCUGGGACUGGACAUUUAAAGAGUUUAAAGUUACUGAAUUUUCUGCCCAACCUGGUGUGGGAAAAGAUGCAGAAGAUAAUGCUGGUGUCUUACAUGUUCUCAAGAGCUCAAUAAGAGAUGGGAAAACUCCAGAAAUACAAAUCUAAAAUGGGUGGAGAGAUUCAGUGCCCAGCUCUGCACUACUGCCUUGGAGAUGCCUCCUUUUGGCUCUUGUGCCUUGUUCCAUGGGGAGCCUCUCAGCAGAGUGCGUUUAACUGGAGACCUGCCAAAGGAAAGCUCUGUACCUGUCAAUGACUUGUGAAGAGCCAUUCCUCAUUUCUGAGAUCCCUGCCAGGAAUGGGAGAGUUUCCAAGAGUUUCUAAGUUCCUCGGACAAUCAGAAAAUGCCCCAAGCUCCUUCUGCAAUCGUGAGUAUGGAUAUUUAUUUCUCAGCUUGGAUUUACUGACUGACUGACUGAGACAUUCUGGCUGCUGCAGUGGCACUUUGAGAAGCUGGGGUGUUUGUAGGGAAC